rnacentral:rRNA from 1 species
UAUGUGAUCGUCUCUCGCAUAUCAAUAAGCGGAGGAAAAGAAACUAACAAGGAUUCCCCUAGUAACGGCGAGUGAAGCGGGAAGAGCUCAAAUUUGAAAUCUUAAAGGGUUUCCCUUUACGAAUUGUAGUUUAAAGAAGUGUUUUCUGUUGAGGUUUUGGUAAAAGUUCUUUGGAAUAGGACAUCAUAGAGGGUGAGAAUCCCGUAUUUGACCUUUACUUUCAACUUUGUGAUACACUUUCAAAGAGUCGGAUUGUUUGGGAAGUGCAGUCCAAAAUGGGUGGUAAAUUUCAUCUAAAGCUAAAUAUUGGCGAGAGACCGAUAGCGAACAAGUACCGUGAGGGAAAGAUGAAAAGAACUUUGAAAAGAGAGUUAAACAGUACGUGAAAUUGUCAAAAGGGAAGCGUUUGACACCAGUGUUGUUUUUCUGAAAAUCAAUUAAAGAACUGUUUAUGCUAAGUUGUUUAGACUUUAUCAGCUAACUGUUUAGUUUUGAGCUUUUCUUUAAUGCACUUUUCAGUUAACAAGUCAACAUCAAUUUCUCUUGCUGUAAAAAAGCUUGAGGAAGGUGGCUUGAGAUUCGUCUUAAGUGUUUAUAGCCUCUUGCCUAUGCAGUCGGAGAGAUUGAGGUCUGCAGCGUAGAUCCUUCGGGGCUAAAUGCAUUUGUGCUAAGUUAUAGCAUUUUAUAGACAACUUGUUGACUAUGAUUUGUCUUGUAGCUUACUCGCUUAUGUUAUUUUACCUACGCUUAGGAUGUUGAGUAGCGACAUACGCAC